rnacentral:lncRNA from 1 species
GGCAGGACCUGGUGGGGCGGGGCUAGAGAUGGGGCGGGACCUGGCGGGGCUAAAGAAGGGCAGGACCCGGCCCGGCGCUGCGGAGCAGGGCGGUGCUCCGCCAGCCGCGGGGCGCUGGGAUCUCGCGCUUGGAGCAGCCUGCACACGCGCUCCAGAGCGCGCCCGCUUGACGGGUGGGGCAGGGGCUGCGGUCUAGCCCGGGAGGAGGCUGCGGGCCUGGCUUUCUAGAUCCCAGAUGAGCCCGUCUGGCCCCGAUUGGGCGCUGUCCUCCUGGUCGGAGCACGAGUCGGGCCGCAGGCAGAUUCGUCGGGCGGGAGCGCAGGUGCUGCAGCUCUGUGGCCAAGGCUCGCCCUGCACCGGCUCCCGUGCCACCCGCCUUGUAGGGACCCUGGGGCACCCCGUGACCCUGGGCCCGGCGGGGCGCCGCGGAGAAGGCGAGGCUCCGGCUAGCGACAGGGCAGCUGGGCACAGCGCGCAGGUGCUCAGCGCCGGACACCAGGACCAGCGGGACCUGGCUCUGCUGCUUGGACUGGUGGGAACAUCAUCAAAACUACAUGAAUCAAACUGGACGCCUCAGCUGUGUUGCCAGGAAGCUGAGGUCCUUGAGCUCAGCGGGGACAGCAGUCACGGGGCAUGUGGCACACCACCCGCAGUAAGUGGCGCUGAGCCCUGA